rnacentral:tRNA from 1 species
GACAGAUGGAGCACCUGGCAGUCCCUCCUCGUCUUCGCCGAGGAGGACGACGACGCGACGGACGGCACCGCCACGUUCCAGUCCCGGAUCAGUCA